rnacentral:rRNA from 1 species
CAGUCGCCGCGGUAAUACGAAGGGGGCUAGCGUUGUUCGGAUUUACUGGGCGUAAAGGGCGCGUAGGCGGGCGAAUCAGUCAGGGGUGAAAUCCCAAGGCUCAACCUCGGAACUGCCUUUGAUACUGGCGAUCUUGAGUCCGGGAGAGGUGAGAGGAACUGCGAGUGUAGAGGUGAAAUUCGUAGAUAUUCGCAAGAACACCGGUGGCGAAGGCGGCUCACUGGCCCGGAACUGACGCUGAGGCACGAAAGCGUGGGGAGCAAACAGGAUUAGAUACCCCUGUAGUCCCUGUCUCUUAUAU